rnacentral:rRNA from 1 species
UACGUAGGUGGCAAGCGUUGUCCGGAUUUACUGGGCGUAAAGGGCGUGCAGGCGGUCUGUUAAGUUCAGGGUGAAAGCUCCCGGCUCAACUGGGAGAGGUCCUUGGAUACUGGCAGACUUGAGGGAGGUAGAGGAUAGUGGAAUUCCUGGUGUAGCGGUGAAAUGCGUAGAUAUCAGGAGGAACACCGGUGGUGUAGACGGCUAUCUGGACCGUAACUGACGCUGAGGCACGAAAGCGUGGGUAGCAAACAGG